AUACAGAGGGUGCGAGCGUUAAUCGGAAUUACUGGGCGUAAAGCGCGCGUAGGCGGCUUAUUAAGUCAGAUGUGAAAUCCCCGGGCUCAACCUGGGAACUGCAUCUGAUACUGGUAAGCUAGAGUUUGGGAGAGGGAAGUAGAAUUUCAGGUGUAGCGGUGAAAUGCAUAGAGAUCUGAAGGAAUACCAGUGGCGAAGGCGACUUCCUGGCCUAAAACUGACGCUGAGGUGCGAAAGCGUGGGUAGCAAACGGGAUUAGAAACCCCGUAGUCC
rnacentral:rRNA from 1 species